GCGGACGGCUCAGUAACACGUAGUCAACCUAACUCGUGGACGUGGAUAACCUCGGGAAACUGAGAAUAAACCACGAUAGAUCAUAGUGCCUGGAAUGGCUUAUGGUCCAAACAGUUUACUGCCAUGGGAUGGGACUGCGGCCUAUCAGCUUGUUGGUGAGGUAAUGGCCCACCAAGGCGAUUACAGGUACGGGCUCUGAGAGGAGAAGCCCGGAGAUGGGUACUGAGACACGGACCCAGGCCCUAUGGGGCGCAGCAGGCGAGAAACCUUAGCAAUGUGCGAAAGCACGACUGGGUCAGUCCGAGUGAUUCCUGAUAAAGGAGUCUUUUGCUUGUCCUAAAAGCACAGGUGAAUAAGGGGUGGGCAAGUCUGGUGUCAGCCGCCGCGGUAAUACCAGCACCUCGAGUGGUCAGGACGUUUAUUGGGCCUAAAGCAUCCGUAGCCGGCUUUGCAAGUCUUCGGUUAAAUCCACCUGCUCAACAGAUGGGCUGCUGGAGAUACUACAGAGCUAGGGAGUGGGAGAGGCAGACGGUAUUCAGUGGGUAGGGGUAAAAUCCUCUGAUCCAUUGAGGACCACCAGUGGCGAAGGCGGUCUGCCAGAACACGUUCGACGGUGAGGGAUGAAAGCUGGGGGAGCAAACCGGAUUAGAUACCCGGGUAGUCCCAGCUGUAAACGAUGCAAACUCGGUGAUGCAUUGGCUUAUGGCCA
rnacentral:rRNA from 1 species